GCCAGGUGUGGUGGCUCACACCUGUAAUCCCAGCAUUUUGGGAGGCCGAGGCGGGUGGAUCACCUGAGGUCAGGAAUUCAUGACCAGCCUGGCCAACAUGGUGAAACCCCGUCUCUA
rfam:Homo sapiens chromosome 6, GRCh38 reference primary assembly.